rnacentral:piRNA from 1 species
UGCUCUUUGUUUUUGGCGAUCCCUUACUUC